rnacentral:rRNA from 1 species
CCCUUAGAUGUUCUGGGCGGCCCGCGCACUACAAUGGCGUGUGCAGCGAGUGCCGAAGUAGAGUUUUCCGAGGUAUUCUUGCAAUGCUCGUUUUGAUGGGGAUAGACCCUUGCAACUGUUGGUUUUGAACGAGGAAUUCCUUGUAAGCAUGGUUUAUCAUCCGACGCUGAAUGCGUCCCUGCCCUUUGUACACACCACCCGUCGCUCCUACCGAUGAGUCGUCCGGUGAAGUUCGUAGACCUCGUGAUCGCGGAUCACUGGGGGAAGCAAAAUGAACCUCGCGGUUUAGAGGAAGGAGAAGUCGUAACA